rnacentral:rRNA from 1 species
GACGAACGCUGGCGGCGUGCCUAAUACAUGCAAGUAGAACGCUGAAGGAGGAGCUUGCUUCUCUGGAUGAGUUGCGAACGGGUGAGUAACGCGUAGGUAACCUGCCUGGUAGCGGGGGAUAACUAUUGGAAACGAUAGCUAAUACCGCAUAAUAGUAGAUGUUGCAUGACAUUUGCCUAAAAGGUGCAAUUGCAUCACUACCAGAUGGACCUGCGUUGUAUUAGCUAGUUGGUGGGGUAACGGCUCACCAAGGCGACGAUACAUAGCCGACCUGAGAGGGUGAUCGGCCACACUGGGACUGAGACACGGCCCAGACUCCUACGGGAGGCAGCAGUAGGGAAUCUUCGGCAGUGGACGGAAGUCUGACCGAGCAACGCCGCGUGAGUGAAGAAGGUUUUCGGAUCGUAAAGCUCUGUUGUAAGAGAAGAACGAGUGUGAGAGUGGAAAGUUCACACUGUGACGGUAUCUUACCAGAAAGGGACGGCUAACUACGUG